UUUCUUAUAAUCUAUUAAACUACUGUCAAUAUUAUUAUGUUUUGCCAAACUAUUUUGGUAUGGUUUUCAAAGGAAGACUGAGUAUUCAUAAACAAAUGUUUUGUUGUCAAACGAAAGGCACGUGAGUUUGCCAAACCUUAAACGUACAUAUGUUUUAAGAAAGUAGUGUUGUACAACAUAGAGUACUAUAGGCUGAUCACCUAGACGUGCUUGUAAGAUAUGCCAGACUAACAGACUUGGUGACGG
rnacentral:lncRNA from 1 species